rnacentral:rRNA from 1 species
AGCGAACGCUGGCGGCAGGCUUAACACAUGCAAGUCGAACGCCCCGCAAGGGGAGUGGCAGACGGGUGAGUAACGCGUGGGAAUCUACCCAUCCCUACGGAAUAACGCAUGGAAACGUGUGCUAAUACCGUAUACGCCCUACGGGGGAAAGAUUUAUCGGGGAUGGAUGAGCCCGCGUUGGAUUAGCUAGUUGGUGGGGUAAAGGCCUACCAAGGCGACGAUCCAUAGCUGGUCUGAGAGGAUGAUCAGCCACAUUGGGACUGAGACACGGCCCAAACUCCUACGGGAGGCAGCAGUGGGGAAUAUUGGACAAUGGGCGCAAGCCUGAUCCAGCCAUGCCGCGUGAGUGAUGAAGGCCUUAGGGUUGUAAAGCUCUUUCACCGGAGAAGAUAAUGACGGUAUCCGGAGAAGAAGCCCCGGCUAACUUCGUG